UACGAAGGGGGCUAGCGUUGCUCGGAAUCACUGGGCGUAAAGCGCACGUAGGCGGAUCGUUAAGUCAGGGGUGAAAUCCUGGAGCUCAACUCCAGAACUGCCUUUGAUACUGGCGACCUUGAGUUCGGGAGAGGUGAGUGGAACUGCGAGUGUAGAGGUGAAAUUCGUAGAUAUUCGCAAGAACACCAGUGGCGAAGGCGGCUCACUGGCCCGAUACUGACGCUGAGGCACAAAAGCGUGGGGAGCAAACAGG
rnacentral:rRNA from 1 species